rnacentral:rRNA from 1 species
AUGCGGCUCACCUCUUGGAUAGAGAAGGGCCCAAAUUGGUCUUCGUUGGACGAACUGAUAGUGAUGCAAACGCGCAUCCAAAGCAUGGUGGAUAAAAACAUCAAGCUCGUCGACGUCAUCCAGGUGAUGCUGGUACGCCGGAUCCUCCCAUGCCAAAGCCGAACCUGCCCCUUAUGGGAAUUUGAUCUGAAGAAGCACCAAACCUUGGAAAGGCUCUUCGGAACCACUCAUGAAGAUGCUUGGAAGUUGCUAUUCAAAGGCAACGAGACGCCGCCAGCCAUGGACUCGGACCGCGGGCACGAUAUUACCCAUCAUGCCAAUGCGGUAUGGACGGAGAGGGUGGAGCGGAUUCACUAUUCGGCUCCGCCGCCCAAAGAACCAGUCAUCCCGCUCCGGGCGAAGAUGCUGGUGCCUGCGCCCUAUAAGGCACCGGAGAAGAAGGCCAAGAAGAAGGCCAAGGGGGUCCGGAGUGGCCUACGCCGCAAGGGAGCUUCAGACGUGUCGUCCGAAGACAAGACUCUCUCCUCCGCCGCCGAAGACGAUGACGAGGAGGAGGAAGAAAAUACCUCUCCCGUUGAUGGGGGGAGGAAGAAGAGGGCGGCCUCCAAAAAUCUGGAGGCGGAGGAGCCCAAGAGGGGGAAGGGUCCCCCUGCGGAUAACUCCGCGUGA